rnacentral:tRNA from 1 species
GGGGAAUUGGCUCAGUGGUAGAGCGCUUGCCUAGCAAGCACAAGGCCCUGGGUUCGGUCCCCAGCUCCG